rnacentral:rRNA from 1 species
UAUACAACUUUCAGCAACGGAUCUCUUGGCUCUCGCAUCGAUGAAGAACGCAGCGAAAUGUGAUAAGUAAUGUGAAUUGCAGAAUUCAGUGAAUCAUCGAAUCUUUGAACGCACCUUGCGCUCCUUGGUAUUCCGAGGAGCAUGCCUGUUUGAGUGUCAUUAAAUUCUCA